rnacentral:tRNA from 1 species
UGUUCUGUGGCUUAGUUGGUGAAAGCGCCGGUCUAGUGGAUAUGGAUUCGUGGGUUCAAAUCCUACCAAAACGC